rnacentral:rRNA from 1 species
GAGUUUGAUCGUGGCUCAGAAUCAACGCUGGCGGCGUGCCUAACACAUGCAAGUCGAACGAGAAAGUGGAGCAAUCCAUGAGUAAAGUGGCGCACGGGUGAGUAACACGUGACUAACCUACCCUUGAGUGGGGAAUAACCUCGGGAAACCGGGGCUAAUACCGCAUAAUACCUUCGGGUCAAAGGAGCAAUUCGCUUAAGGAGGGGUCGCGGCUGAUUAGCUAGUUGGUGGGGUAAUGGCCUACCAAGGCAAUGAUCAGUAUCCGGCCUGAGAGGGCGCACGGACACACUGGAACUGAAACACGGUCCAGACUCCUACGGGAGGCAGCAGUGGGGAAUUUUGCACAAUGGGGGAAACCCGUGAUGUAGCAACGCCGCGUGGAGGAUGAAGUCCCUUGGGAUGUAAACUCCUUUCGUACCGGGACGAUAAUGACCGGUACGGUGGAAGAAGACCCCGGCUAACUCUGUGCCA